rnacentral:rRNA from 1 species
CCAAUAGCGUAUAUUAAAGUUGUUGCAGUUAAAAAGCUCGUAGUUGAACCUUAGGCCCGUGCGGGUGGUCCGUCCUCUGGGCGAGCACUGCCUCGUCGCGGGUCUCACCUUCUGGCGAGCGUCGAUGCCAUUCACUUGGUGUCGGCGGGAACCAGGACCUUUACCUUGAAAAAAUUAGAGUGCUCAAAGCGGGCUCGUACGCUUGAAUACAUUAGCAUGGAAUAAUGAAAUAGGACGACGGUUCUAUUUUGUUGGUUUCCGGGACAGUCGUAAUGAUUAAUAGGGAUAGUUGGGGGCAUUCGUAUUCAAUUGUCAGAGGUGAAAUUCUUGGAUUUAUUGAAGACGAACUACUGCGAAAGCAUUUGCCAAGGAUGUUUUCAUUAAUCAAGAACGAAAGUUGGGGGAUCGAAGACGAUCAGAUACCGUCGUAGUCUCAACCAUAAACUAUGCCGACUGGGAAUCGGGCGAUGUUAUUUUUCGUGACUCGCUCGGCGCCCCGAG